rnacentral:misc_RNA from 1 species
UCCGGCUUGUCGCCGGCGGUCCCUUUAGAGUGCCCAACUGAAUGAUGGCAACUAAAGGCGAGGGUUGCGCUCGUUGCGGGACUUAACCCAACAUCUCACGACACGAGCUGACGACAGCCAUGCAGCACCUGUGUCCAGGCUCCCUUUCGGGCACCCCUACCUCUCAGCAGGGUUCCUGGCAUGUCAAGGGUAGGUAAGGUUUUUCGCGUUGCAUCGAAUUAAUCCACAUAAUCCACCGCUUGUGCGGGUCCCCGUCAAUUCCUUUGAGUUUUAACCUUGCGGCCGUACUCCCCAGGCGGUCAACUUCACGCGUUAGCGCCGGCACUCAAGGGGUCGCUCCCCCAAGCACCUAGUGCCCAUCGUUUACGGCGUGGACUAC